rnacentral:rRNA from 1 species
UACGAAGGAUGCAAGCGUUAUCCGGAUUAUUGGGUUUAAAGGGAGCGUAGGCGGCCUUAUAAGUCAGUGGUGAAAUCUCGUUGCUUAACAACGAACGUGCCAUUGAUACUGUAGGGCUUGAGUACAGAUGCCGUUGGCGGAAUGUGUCAUGUAGCGGUGAAAUGCAUAGAUAUGACACAGAACACCGAUUGCGAAGGCAGCUGACGAAACUGUAACUGACGCUGAGGCUCGAAAGCGUGGGGAUCAAACAGG